GUGCCAGCAGCCGCGGUAAAACGUAGGUGGCGAGCGUUAUCCGGAUUUACUGGGCGUAAAGGGUGUGCAGGCGGGAGGUCAAGUGGUGUAUGAAAUGGCCCGGCUUAACCGGGCAGCGGUAUGCCAGACUGGCCUUCUUGGGUGCGAGAGAGGGGCGUGGAAUUCCGGGUGUAGUGGUGAAAUGCGUAGAGAUCCGGAGGAACCCCAGAGGCGAAGGCGGCGCCCUGGCUCGCAACCGACGCUCAGACACGACAGCAUGGGGAGCGAACGGGAUUAGAAACCCCUGUAGUCC
rnacentral:rRNA from 1 species